rnacentral:rRNA from 1 species
UACGUAGGGGGCUAGCGUUGUCCGGAUUUAUUGGGCGUAAAGAGCGUGUAGGCGGCCAGGUAGGUCUGCUGUGAAAACUCGAGGCUCAACCUCGAGACGUCGGUUGAAACCACCUGGCUAGAGUCCGGAAGAGGAGAGUGGAAUUCCUGGUGUAGCGGUGAAAUGCGCAGAUAUCAGGAAGAACACCUGCGGCGAAGGCGGGUUGCUGGGCCGACACUGACGCUGAUGCGCGAAAGCCAGGGGAGCGAACGGG